GAACCGAGGUCGUGGCUAUGGGAGGAAUGAGUUUGACAAUCAAGUUGGAUCAUCUGGUCAAUCUCGUGGUACUGCUAGCCGCAAUGGAGAAGGUAACAAGAAAAUUUAUCAGAAUGGGGGAGGAAGAGUUGCUGGACAGGGACAGGCUCAAGCACAGGCUCAAUCUCAAUCUCAAUCUCAAGCUCAAGCUCAAUCUGCGGGUGGGAAGAACUAGUUUGCUGCUUUCUGCUGGAAUUUUGUUUACUAUAAUUUUUUCCUUGAUUUUUCAGAUUGGUAAGUAUUUGGGAAAUCGGAUUGCAGCUUUUAAAG
rnacentral:misc_RNA from 1 species